rnacentral:rRNA from 1 species
UGGGGAAUAUUGCGCAAUGGGCGGAAGCCUGACGCAGCGACGCCGCGUGGGGGAUGACGGCCUUCGGGUUGUAAACCUCUUUCAGCUCCGACGAAGCGAGAGUGACGGUAGGAGCAGAAGAAGCACCGGCCAACUACGUGCCAGCAGCCGCGGUAAUACGUAGGGUGCAAGCGUUGUCCGGAAUUAUUGGGCGUAAAGAGCUCGUAGGCGGUUCGUCGCGUCGGCUGUGAAAACCCGGAGCUCAACUCCGGGCCUGCAGUCGAUACGGGCGGACUAGAGUUCGGCAGGGAGACUGGAAUUCCUGGUGUAGCGGUGAAAUGCGCAGAUAUCAGGAGGAACACCGGUGGCGAAGGCGGGUCUCUGGGCCGAUACUGACGCUGAGGAGCGAAAAGCGUGGGGAGCGAACA